UCGGGGGCUGGGGCCAAACUUGGGGGACUGUGGACUGCAGGGGCUUUCCAUCUGCCCAACCAUCGCCCCCGCUGAGUUCCCCGAUGCAAACAUCACCCCCAAUGAGUUCCCCAUGCAAAUAUCGCCCCCGCUGAGUUCCCCGCUGUGGCUCUUUUAUGCUGGGUCCUCUUCCUGCAGCUGCAGCUUGCUCUGCAGAACAGGAGAGUUUUUAAAGGGGCCUCUGUGCACACCUAGGCUCUCCUGCCUCACCCCUGAUGCCCGCAUUUGGCCACCAGACUCAGACCAGCCCAGAAUGGGGAUAGAAGUGGCCCAAAAGUGACUGUAAUGGCUGUGAUCUAGAGAUCAUGCAUUCAGACAUGGAAGUCAGCUGAUACUGUGGCUGAAUAUUCCUGUGCAAGGUUCUUCAGCUUUCUGGGCAUGGAUGUCGGCAUGUGGAAAAUGACAAAUGGUAUGAACACAGAUGAAAUGAGCAGAUUCUACAAGGAACCCUGUCCUUGCACAUGCUAAGCACCGAGGGCAGGUUUCCUAUUUGAGUUGUGAGCCCUGCUGCCCUCCUUGAAGUCAGCAAAUGCCAGGCCCACCCUGAGGAGAGCUGGAACUCUGAGCCCAGGCCGUGGCCUCUUCAUGGCCCUGGGGGUGCUGUGAGGGGGUGGAAAUGAAAGCAAGACCCACCAUCAGGACUCAGGCGUGUUUUUCAGACCCACAGAGGAUGAUUUUUCUCUCCAUCACCUGCCUACUCUGCUUUACUGACGCCAACAGCCCCCUCAGAAAUGAGAUUCAGGAGUUAACAUACCCCAGGUCUCACCUCGAAGGGGAGGAUCGGAGCCUCAAGAGGCCAAGGAAGGAAGUCAAGAUAGUCAAGUGGGUCAUCUGAGAUCUGUUCUUGCUUGAGCUAUUGUAAAUGCCUCUCACGGAGACGCGAGGACCUGUCUAUUAUAAUGACCAAGCCUACAUCCAGGGGGUGGGGCAACAGACUUUCAUCUAUCAGCCCUUUUCAACCAUUGAUCUACUAAACUGGAAGCACCCGAACCUGCCACCUUGCUCCCAGCAGCUAAAGCCCUGUAGAGCAUGACUGUGUAGAGGUGUUGGACUCAAGUUUACUCUAGCAGACCUGACCUCCAGGACCAGCCUUGGGCAUCAGUAGACUAGGAGCUAUACGUGGAUGGGAACAGCUUCAUCAACCCACAAGGAGAGAGAUGUGCAGAAUAUGAGGUGGUAACCCUGGACACUGUCGUUAAGCUGAGCUCGAUGCUUUAAUUCGGGCCUUAGAACUCAGUAAAGGUAAGACCGUAAACAUUUACACUGACUCUUGGUAUGCCUGUUUAACCCUCCAAGUAAAUGAAAAAUUAUAUAAAGAGAAGAGCCUGUUAAACUCUAGGAAAAAGGGGAAAAAAGACCCAGAGAAUGCAACUCAGCUUCAGCGUUUGCAGAGGUACUGAGAAGCACUUCUGCAGAGGCUAAGAGUUAGUAGAAAAAAAGCAAGUAAUAUAAAAAAGAUUUCAGGAAUGCUUCAAGGAGCUGACAAGAGCCUAAGUCAGUUUUAUAAAAGACUAUAAAGCAUUCUGGUUUUACACGCCAUUUAACCCUGAGGCUGCUGAAAAUCAGUAUAUAGUGAAUACUUCAUUUGUAAAGCAAGCCCAGGUUAACAUCAAGCAGAAGCUGCAGGCAUGAAUACCAUCUGCCACCAAGGUGUAUGUUAAGUGUGACCAAGGAACAAAACUAGGAAAGAGCAAAAGAAAAAGAAAGACUAACAGUUAGUAUAAAAAAAGAGAGAUUAACAAUGUGAGAGGACGUGGACGUGGAUGUAAAUGUGAAAGAAGUAGAGUUAGGCAAGGAUUCCAGAACCAGACAAGGCUAGAGAGAGAUUAAUGUGUGAGAUGCAAAAAGAAAGGACACUAGAAGGAUAAAUGUUCAAAAGGCAAUAAAGGAAAUGGCCAAGGCCACAAGACAAAGAGGCCAUCGGCCAAGGUCUGUGGCACCUUGGAGGAACCAAAUACUCAUCUGAUCAGGCUGACAGGAGCUGAAGAAUGUAAAGACUAGGGCAGACUAGGUUCCCAGGAGCCCAUGGUCACAUUAGAAGUUAAAAGUAGCAAGAUUCUGCUGUAUCUGGAUUCCAAUUACUCACUGAAGGCUAAGUCACUAAAUAGAGUUACAAAGGGAGGCAGUGGGGGGAGAAGAGCCCCUCCUCUAAGAAACUUAAACAGGAAAAAUAGCCAUACCUUGUGAAAACCUGCUUAUAGACUUUAUAGAACUGCCCAGUGCUGGAGGCUAUCGGUACAGGCUAGUGCUUGUUUGCACCUUUUCAGGAUAAAGUUUUCCCCACCAGGACAGAAAAAGUACAAGAAGUGACUAAAGUACUGUUAAAAGACAUUAUCCCCAGGUUUAGACUACCUCUAACUUUAAAGUCAGACAAUAGGCCAGCAUUUGUAGCUGAAAUAGUGCAAGAUUUAACAAGACUGUUAAAGAUAAAAUAGAAGUUACACACAACUUAUCGGCCACAAAGUUCAAGAAAAGGUGGAACGCAUGAACUGGACACUCAAGCAGCUACUGAAGAAAUAUUGCCAGGAAAUUCGUUUAAGAUAAAAUCAGGAUUUUGCCUACGGUCCUCCUCCAAGUCAGGUGCACUCCCACCAAACAAACUAGGUAUUUGCCCUAUAAGAUUUUGUUUGGUCAGCCACCCCCAAAUCAUAAGUCAAAUUAAAGGUGACCUCCAGAAACUAAAGGAAUUAACCUUAAAAAAGCAAAUGCAGGCUUUAAAAAUAGCCACAUGAAGUGUUCAUGAUUAAAUAAAUAAAAAGGCCUGUAAGUCUGAUAUCCCUUUAAAUCUAGUGACUCUGUUUAAAGUAAAAUCUAAUUUUUCUAGGACCCAUAUAGGACGGGCCCUCUACUGUAACCUUGUCCACUCCCACUGCUGUUAAAGUUGCAGGUGUUGUGUCUUGGAUCCCCUCAGUCAGCUAACACCGGCAGCUGAGGACAAGUGGAGCAGCCAGCAGGACACAGAUCAUCCAACCCGGCUGAUCCUGGGACGAGACCAAGCUGCUGCUGAGGAUGACAGCCCUGCUCUGGUCACUCCGGAUAUUGACCAGUCUACACACGGCUGAAGCUUGAGGAGACAACAAGCCCUGCUCUAGUCACAUACCGGCAGCUGACUAGUCUACGCAUGGCCAAAGCUUAAGGACUCAUCGAGCAAGUAAAUGUAGUUAAAAAUCUUAAGAUGAAUAGUUUUCCUGUAAUACUGUUUUCCUAUUGUUCUGUCGCGGUAUUCAACCUUUUUCCCAGGUAAGGACCUCUUUUGUCCUUGCUGGAUAUGAAUAUGCUGUAUAUUAUUUUGUUCUUGUUAACCCCGCAUAACCAUGCUAGAAGAAACACCUAUAUAAGGUGUUCCCACUGUACACAUACUACUUAGGAAACCCAGACCCAUCCAGCCCAGCAACAAUUCCAAGUCUUUCAGUCAUUCUUUAAACAUAUAAACCAGAAGUUACCAGAACCUCCUUCUUUAGCAAAAAAAAAAAAAGAAAGAAAAGAAAAGACAAAACCUAUAUGCUCAGU